rnacentral:rRNA from 1 species
GACGAACGCUGGCGGCGCGCCUAACACAUGCAAGUCGAGCGAUGAAAUUUUAACCGAUCUCUUCGGAGAGAAGAUAAAAUGGAUUAGCGGCGGACGGGUGAGUAACACGUGAGAAACCUGCCUUUCACAAGGGGAUAGCCUCGGGAAACCGGGAUUAAUACCCUAUGACACAUUUCCUUCGCAUGGAAGAAAUGUUAAAACUCCGGUGGUGAAAGAUGGUCUCGCGCCUGAUUAGCUAGUUGGUGGGGUAACGGCCCACCAAGGCCAUGAUCAGUAACCGGCCUGAGAGGGUGAACGGUACAAUUGGAACUGGGACACGGUCCAAACCUCUGAGGGGGGGAGGAGUAGGGAAAAUUGGCAAAAGGAAGAAACCCGGAUGCAGGGACGCCGGGGGGGGGAAGAAGGCUUUCGAGGCGUAAAGCCCUGGCCAAUGGGAAGAAAAUGACGGUAACAUAGGAGGAAGCCCCGGCUAACUACG